UGACUUUUGCUCUUCUUGCUUUAACAGUGAAAUAUGAGAGGCUCAAAAUCAGCUGCAUUGGGGUUGCACCAGGACAAUGACACUGUUAAUUCUAAUCCAUGAUCUGUGAUGCAAAUCAUGAAGCGUUCUGCCUGUGAGUGAAUUCAGCUUUCCCAAUCUCCUCAGCUCCUCAGUAAGGAAAGCAAAACUUGCUGUUGGAUCUCUUGGAGAGUGGGAGAAGACACCCAAAAAGAUGGCAAUAUGUGCAGCUGGAGUGUGAGUAAAGAAUGCAGCCAACAACCUUGAGAGAUCUGCACGUUUACAGCAGGUCCAUGUGUACUGCACCACUCACUCCAGAGACUCAAAAGACAAGUUGGUAUGCCAUCCCCAUAACUUUGCCUUCAAAAACUAUACAGGACUGAAAACAAAGACAUCCAAACCUUGAGCCAUUUAGAAGAAGCCAAAAUCUGUGCCAGAGGUUUGUCUGUUGGGUUUACUCAUGGCUUCAGGUACGCUUCUUUCCCUGGGUUGUUUAGCAUUUCAGAGGCCCUC
rnacentral:lncRNA from 1 species